AUGGUUUCAAGCGGCUCAGGCUGUGCGCAUGCGCCUUACUGCUUGCUGAAGCCAAUCCUCUGGGCCUAGGACCUCUUACUGCACAUGCGCAGAAGGCUCAAUGACAGUCGCGCGUUGGUUAAGGCUCUGGGAAAGGGGGCAGGCCAUGUUGCAUGUGACCUGGGGGUCCAAGGUCCGACUAUGGUCCCUGGUGCCUGCUCUCCUCGGGACUCCCCGAGCUCUGUCGUCCCUGGAGAACAGGAUGGGGGUGUACCGCAAGAUGUGGAACCCCAAGGAGCCCUGCGACUGGGCCCAGCAGUACCGCGAGCGCUUCAUUCCAUUCUCCAAGGAGCAGCUGCUCCGCCUCCUGAUACAGGAGUUCCACUCCAGCCCAGCGGAGAGAGCAGCUUUGGAGGCAUUCUCAGCUCACGUGGACUUCUGUACCCUCUUUCACUACCAUCAGCUCCUGGCCAGGCUGCAGGCCUUGUAUGACCCCAUCAACCCCGACAGGGAGACCCUGGACCAGCCGUCCCUUACUGACCCCGAGCGCCUGUCCAGUGAGAAGGAUGUGCUCCAGGCUCUGAGGCCCCUGCUGGCCCAGGCCAACUUCUCUCCACUCUCUGAAGAUGCCCUGGCUUAUGCACUAGUCGUCCAUCAUCCUCAGGAUGAGGUCCAGGUGACAAUAAAUUUGGAUCAGUAUAUCUACAUACAGUUCUGGGCCCUGGGCCAGAGAGUUGGGCAGAUGCCCCACAAGUCCAGUGUGGGCUCCAAGCGUGGCUUCUUCAGAAAGUUGCCCCCUGUGGAGAGGUGAGGAGGCCCUUGUUCCCCAGUUGCAGCAAAAGAGAGCCAGGUUUGACUUGGGAGGAACUGACAGGAGAUACUUCAAGCGUGUGGUGUUGGCUGCCCGGACGAAAGGAGGGCACCUGGUCCUGAAGAGCUUCAAGGAUACCCCGCUGGAGGGCUUAGAGCAGCUGCUGCCGGAGCUGAAGGUGCGCACGCCCGUGCUGCAGCGCGCCCUGCUCAACCUCAUGUUGGUGGUCUCAGGCGUCAUGAUCUUCGUCAACGUGGGCAUGGUGAUACUGUCUGACCUCAAGAUGGCCACCUCCCUGCUGCUGCUGCUCUUUGCUGCCUUCAUGGGCGUGAAGGCCUCCAAGGUGUUUGGGCAGCGCCGCAGUGCCCAGGCGCUGGAGCUGGCACACGUGCUGUACUACCGAAGCACGUCCAACAACUCAGAACUGCUCAGUGCCCUGGCACUCCGAGCCCAGGAGGAACAUAUCAAGGAAGCCCUCCUGGCUCACAGCUUCCUAGCCCGCCGGCCAGGGGGCUCCCAAGGCAAACCUGAAGAGACCUCCAGGUGGCUGCAGUCUGAAGUGGAAAGCUGGCUUCUGGCCCAAUCAGGCUGUGAUGUAACCUUCAAUGGACCUCGGGCCCUGGCCCAUCUGCAAGCCCUGACCCCCAGCCUUGGACUGUUCCCACCACCUGAAUUGCCACAACUGGACCCAAUGGUCCUAGGCACUCCAGAGGCCACGCAGGCUGCGCUGGGUAGCAGCUACCCCUCACCCUGACCACUUACUACCAGGCCCUGCGCUGACAGGGUCCCAAGCUCCGCCUCCUCCGUGGCAAACUGUCAGUUGUGGCAACUGCAUCUCCUUCCUGGACUUUCAGUUGUUGACAGGCUAUUAUUUCUGCUAGGCCAUUAAUUUUGCUAUGCUAUAGACGUAAGAGUAGCCAAUCGGGGCUGCUGGCAGUUGCUAGGCAGCCUCCUGAGGCCAACCAAUCAAAGCCGUUUAUUUCAACUUGUUAUUUUAUUUCUUAGACCCGCCUCUGGCGGGAACCUCACCAAGGUCGCUGGAGGAGGCGGGACUUGGGGAGGCUCACACAGCUGCUGGAUUGCAGCUGCCAGCCUUGGCCACAUUGAGAUGGGCCAGGCUGUGAAAGCUGCAUGGGGGCGGGGAGGAGGGACGGGGGUGGGAGUGGGGGAAGCUGCUUUAUUUUCUAUUUAACCUGCGCAGAACUGCUCGCCACAGGCACCUGAGCCAUUUGCCCCUGGCACACAGUGGGUGACAGACACUGGGCACCUCAGCCACAGGCAGCCGGUCAGAAUGUCUGGAGGAACCUCUUCAGACCCCACGUAAGAUGAGCCAUCUGUUCUGCAGCUCAUCUGCUCUGGUUGGAGGCACUGGAAACUUCAUGCCCCAAAGAAGAAUUGCAGGAUUCCACCCCAAGAUCACUCCAGCCCAGGCCCCAGCAGGCUCCGUGGCCCGCUCUGCCUCGCUGCAGCAAUCCCCUUAGUCUGGGUCUCCCUGUCUGUGCACCCUCUUCCAAAGGAAUAAAUCAUGCUUAAUAA